AAGUAAAAGUCGUAACAAGGUUUCCGUAGGUGAACCUGCGGAAGGAUCAUUAUCGCACAAUGGAGGUGCUGGGGUUGUCGCUGACUUGAAAGGGUCGUGCACACCUCGGUGCUCUCACACAUAAUCCAUCUCACCCCUUUUGUGCAUCACCGCGUGGGGACCCCUUUUGGCUAGUUCUGAGGGGGGUUUUCACGUUUUUACACAGACACCCUUUUAAUGCAAUGUGUAGAAUGUCUUACUUUUUGCGAUCACACGCAAUCAAUACAACUUCAACAACGACGUAUGUGAUUGCAGAAUUCAGUGAAUCAUCGAAUCUUUGAACGCACCUUGCGCCCUUUGGCAUUCCGAGGGGCACACCCGUUUGAGUGUCGUGACAUCCUCAAAACCUUCUUGGUUUCUUGACCGGGAAGGCUUUUGGACUUUGGAGGCUUUUGCUGGCCUUCCUUUGUUGGAGCCAGCUCCUCUGAAAUGAAUUAGUGGGGUCUGCUUUGCCGAUCCUUGACGUGAUAAGAUGUUUUCUACGUCUUGGGUUUCGCACUGUUCGAUCUGGAUCCUGCUUCUAACUGUCUCAUAGAAGACAAUGGUCAAGUGAUUGCCACUUGACCCACAAACCUUGACCUCAAAUCGGGUGAGACUACCCGCUGAACUUAAGCAUAUCAAUAAGCGGAGGAAGGU
rnacentral:rRNA from 1 species